GUAGGGGGCAAGCGUUGUCCGGAAUUAUUGGGCGUAAAGCGCGCGCAGGCGGUCUCUUAAGUCUGAUGUGAAAGCCCACGGCUCAACCGUGGAGGGUCAUUGGAAACUGGGAGACUUGAGUGUAGGAGAGGAAAGUGGAAUUCCACGUGUAGCGGUGAAAUGCGUAGAUAUGUGGAGGAACACCAGUGGCGAAGGCGACUUUCUGGCCUACAACUGACGCUGAGGCGCGAAAGCGUGGGGAGCAAACAGGGAUUAGAUACCCUGGUAGUCCACGCUGUAAACGGUGAGUGCUAGGUGUUAGGGGUUUCGAUGCCCUUAGUGCCGAAGUUAACACAUUAAGCACUCCGCCUGGGGAGUACGGCCGCAAGGCUG
rnacentral:rRNA from 1 species